rnacentral:rRNA from 1 species
GCUUGCUUGGUGGAUCAGUGGCGAACGGGUGAGUAACACGUGAGCAACCUGCCCUGGACUCUGGGAUAAGCGCUGGAAACGGCGUCUAAUACUGGAUAUGAGCCUCUUCCGCAUGGUGGGGGUUGGAAAGAUUUUUUGGUCUGGGAUGGGCUCGCGGCCUAUCAGCUUGUUGGUGAGGUAAUGGCUCACCAAGGCGUCGACGGGUAGCCGGCCUGAGAGGGUGACCGGCCACACUGGGACUGAGACACGGCCCAGACUCCUACGGGAGGCAGCAGUGGGGAAUAUUGCACAAUGGGCGAAAGCCUGAUGCAGCAACGCCGCGUGAGGGAUGACGGCCUUCGGGUUGUAAACCUCUUUUAGCAGGGAAGAAGCGAAAGUGACGGUACCUGCAGAAAAAGCGCCGGCUAACUA